CUUCCGUAAGGGGGACCUGCGGAAGGAUCAUUAUCUAUUCCAUGAGGUGCGGUCGCGGCCCUCGGCGGGAGCAACAGCUACCGUCGGGCGGUAGAGGUAACACUUUCACGCGCCGCAUGUCUGAAUCCUUUUUUUACGAGCACCUUUCGUUCUCCUUCGGCGGGGCAACCUGCCGUUGGAACCUAUCAAAACCUUUUUUUGCAUCUAGCAUUACCUGUUCUGAUACAAACAAUCGUUACAACUUUCAACAAUGGAUCUCUUGGCUCUGGCAUCGAUGAAGAACGCAGCGAAAUGCGAUAAGUAGUGUGAAUUGCAGAAUUCAGUGAAUCAUCGAAUCUUUGAACGCACAUUGCGCCCCUUGGUAUUCCAUGGGGCAUGCCUGUUCGAGCGUCAUCUACACCCUCAAGCUCUGCUUGGUGUUGGGCGUCUGUCCCGCCUCUGCGCGCGGACUCGCCCCAAAUUCAUUGGCAGCGGUCCUUGCCUCCUCUCGCGCAGCACAUUGCGCUUCUCGAGGUGCGCGGCCCGCGUCCACGAAGCAACAUUACCGUCUUUGACCUCGGAUCAGGUAGCUGCACGAAUCC
rnacentral:rRNA from 1 species